rnacentral:rRNA from 1 species
CGAGCGGAAGGCCACUUCGGUGGUACUCGAGCGGCGAACGGGUGAGUAAAGGGGGAAAUCUGCCCCUGGCUUCGGGAUAGCCACCGGAAACGGUGAUUAAUACCGGAUAUGACAGACCCUCGCAUGGGGGUGUGUGGAAAGUUUUUCGGCCAGGGAUGUGCUCGCGGCCUAUCAGCUUGAUGGUGAGGUAAUGGCUCACCAUGGCUUCGACGGGUAGCCGGCCUGAGAGGGUGACCGGCCACACUGGGACUGAGACACGGCCCAGACUCCUACGGGAGGCAGCAGUGGGGAAUAUUGGACAAUGGGCGGAAGCCUGAUCCAGCAACGCCGCGUGAGGGAUGACGGCCUUCGGGUUGUAAACCUCUUUCAGUACCGACGAAGCGCAAGUGACGGUAGGUACAGAAGAAGCACCGGCCAACUACGUGCCAGCAGCCGCGGUAAUACGUAGGGUGCGAGCGUUGUCCGGAAUUAUUGGGCGUAAAGGGCUCGUAGGCGGUUUGUCGCGUCSGGAGUGAAAACGCCGUGCUUAACACGGCGCUUGCUUCCGAUACGGGCAGACUAGAGGUAUUCAGGGGAGAACGGAAUUCCUGGUGUAGCGGUGAAAUGCGCAGAUAUCARGAGGAACACCGGUGGCGAARGCGGUUCUCUGGGAAUGACCUGACGCUGARGAGCGAAARUGUGGGGAGCGAACAGGAUUAGAUACCCUGGUAGUCCACACCGUAAACRUUGGGCGCUAGGUGUGGGGUCCAUUCCACGGAUUCCKUGCCGCAGCUAAMRCAUUAAGCGCCCCGCCCUGGGGAGUACRGCCGCCAAGGCUAAAACUCMAAGGAAUUGACGGGGGCCCGCACAAGCGGCGGAGCAUGCGGAUUAAUUCGAUGCAACGCGAAGAACCUUACCUGGGUUUGACAUACACCCUGCCGCCUCAGAGAUGGGGCUUCUUUUGGGGGUGUACAGGUGGUGCAUGGCUGUCGUCAGCUCGUGUCGUGAGAUGUUGGGUUAAGUCCCGCAACGAGCGCAACCCUCGUUCUAUGUUGCCAGCACGUAAUGGUGGGGACUCAUAGGAGACUGCCGGGGUCAACUCGGAGGAAGGUGGGGAUGACGUCAAGUCAUCAUGCCCCUUAUGUCCAGGGCUUCACGCAUGCUACAAUGGCCGGUACAAAGGGCUGCGAUCCCGUAAGGGGGAGCGAAUCCCAAAAAGCCGGUCUCAGUUCGGAUUGGGGUCUGCAACUCGACCCCAUGAAGUCGGAGUCGCUAGUAAUCGCAGAUCAGCAACGCUGCGGUGAAUACGUUCCCGGGCCUUGUAC